CCAAUUUUCGGCACGGAUUUACAAACCAUCAUUAUACUUAUUUUGGCGUCACUAUUCACAAAAUUCAUCCAACAAUCUUAAGUCGAAUUUCUAUAAAUUUUGUGAAAGUGACAUUCUUGUUUGGUUAAACUUGUUAAGUUUAACUUCUUCUUCACUUCUAUUUUUGGUUGAUCUUCUGUUUUACGUAAACAGAAAUGAAUACGGUUCUUAAUAUCGAUACUACUUCGAAUGAAACUUCGAACAUGGGAACUUCUGAAGGAAGUGUUC
rnacentral:lncRNA from 1 species